rnacentral:lncRNA from 1 species
UUUGGUGGAUUCGGGGGCCUCCAUGCUUGGCGCGCGGUAUUGCCUCCUCACCAUCCCCCUCUCUUUCUCCGCCCGUCCUCCCCCAGCCCAGAUUCCAGUCCCCAAAUCGUCUCCUUUCCCCAUCCAUCGAGGAGCUUCUUGGCAAGAUGGGGAGGAAAGAGAAGGGAUUCAUGUGAGGUACUGCAAUUUUCUCCAUGUCCUGCUUUUCUAUUAGGUUGAUUUGUUUGCUCGUUGUAGUUCAGCAUGAUCUGCAUUUGUUCAAUCUGGGCACAAAUUGCAUGUAUUUGUGCAGUGCACCUGGAUAGAGUGGGGCUUUCUAUUGCUGGAGACUGUCAAAUUGUUGCAAGACCCAUGCGAAGCUAACAAUCUUGCCUUUUAUUUGUCGCUGUAAUUGCUUUGCUUUGUUGUUAACUUCGGCCGUUUCACUGGCCUAAUGGGAAUUGUUCAGUUGGGCCUAGGACCCCUGGUUAGUCCUUUUCAAAAAACAUUAACAUUCUCGGUAGCAAUUUGAAGUGCAAGGAAGAAUGUGAAAUGAUAGAUGAGGAUUGCACAUGAUAUUACAUCGUAC